rnacentral:tRNA from 1 species
UAAUAUGAAUCAAUAAUUUGAAUUUUAAUUUCGACUUAAAAUAUUGAACUCAAUAAAGUUCCAUGUUAA